AGCAGCCGCGGUAAUUCCAGCUCCAAUAGCGUAUAUUAAAGUUGUUGCAGUUAAAAAGCUCGUAGUUGAAUUUUGGGUCUGGCCGGGCGGUCCGCCCUCCGGGUGAGCACUGUUCCGACGCCGGGCCUAUCCUUCUGGUGAGUCGGCAUGUCCUUUGUUGGGUGUGUCGGGGAACCAGGACCAUUACCUUGAAAAAAAUUAGAGUGUUCAAAGCAGGCGUAUGCUCGGAUACAUUAGCAUGGAAUAAUGAAAUAGGACGUGUGGUGCUAUUUUGUUGGUUUCUAGAACCGCCGUAAUGAUUAAUAGGGAUAGUUGGGGGCAUUAGUAUUCAAUUGUCAGAGGUGAAAUUCUUGGAUUUAUUGAAGACUAACUUCUGCGAAAGCAUUUGCCAAGGAUGUUUUCAUUAAUCAAGAACGAAAGUUAGGGGAUCGAGGACGAUCAGAUACCGUCGUAGUCUUAACCAUAAACUAUGCCGACUAGGAAUCGGGCGAUGUUAUUCUCAUGACUCGCCCGGCGCCUU
rnacentral:misc_RNA from 1 species